GAGGGAGAGGGAGAGGGAGCCCAAUCAGAAGUUAACAGUUUAGCCUCUGUUGUACUUCAGAAUCACCAUGUCCUGGAUACAAUGACAGCCCAAGAAGGAGGAGCUUAUGCAAUCAUUGAUCCGCUGCCACUCAGCUACUUAUACAACUCUUCUCUCCACAAAUACUAAUUCAGCUUUUAAUUUGAAACUGUUAGGGAAGUUUCAGACAGGGAAAAUAAAGGAGUUAAAAGUAUGCCUGCAGCUCUAAAAUAUGUCAAAUUAGUGUAUUGAUUACUUCAAGCUCAAAGUACUUUGGAAACUGUAGUUCCAGAAGUGACUAUCUGACCUGCCUUUUCCUGCAUAUAGCAAGCCAUAAAACUUCCAUGGAGAAAGAUGCCUUCCCUGUGCCAGGACGAGGAAAUAACCCUAUCUCCAGGAUUGGAAAUUGUUGCUUCAGUUGACCGGUACAAAUAAACUAAAGUAACUCUUA